rnacentral:rRNA from 1 species
AGGAUAAACGCUGGCGGCGUGCCUAACACAUGCAAGUCGAACGUCUCUUCUUUCGGGAAGAGGAGUGGCGGACGGGUGAGGAACACGUGGGAACCUGCCCUUUAGUGAGGAAUACCGGCGAGAAAUCGCCGACAAGACCGCAUAGCCCUCUUUGAUGAGAGUCAAAGAAGGAAAGCUUCGCAAGAGGCGCUAGAGGAGGGGCCUGCGUCCGAUUAGCUAGUUGGUGGGGUAAGAGCCUACCAAGGCGUCGAUCGGUAGCUGGUCUGAGAGGACGAUCAGCCACACUGGGAUUGAGAACGGCCCAGACUCCUACGGGGGGCAGCAGUGAGGAAUUUUCGGCAAUGGGGGAAACCCUGACCGAGCAACGCCGCGUGCAGGAAGACGGCCUCGGUUGUAACUGCUUUCUUUGGUAGAGAACGGACGGUACCAGAGGAAUCAGCCCGGCUCACUACGUGCCAGCAGCCGC